rnacentral:rRNA from 1 species
UACGUAGGGUGCGAGCGUUGUCCGGAAUUAUUGGGCGUAAAGGGCUCGUAGGCGGUCUGUCGCGUCGGGAGUGAAAACUCAGGGCUUAACCCUGAGCCUGCUUCCGAUACGGGCAGACUAGAGGUAUGCAGGGGAGAACGGAAUUCCUGGUGUAGCGGUGAAAUGCGCAGAUAAUCAGGAAGAACAGCCCGUGGCGAAGGCGGUCUCUGGGACGGUACUGACGCUGAGACGCGAAAGCGUGGGGAGCGAACAGG